AGAAUCAACGCUGGCGGCGCGCUUAACACAUGCAAGUCGAGCGAGAAAGUGGAGCAAUCCAUGAGUAAAGCGGCGUACGGGUGAGUAACACGUGGAUGAUCUACCUUUUUGUGGGGGAUAACUUUGGGAAACCGAAGCUAAUACCGCAUAAGCCUGUAAAGGGAAAGCAGCAAUGCGCAGAAAGAGGAGUCCGCGGCCGAUUAGCUAGUUGGUGAGGUAACGGCCCACCAAGGCGAUGAUCGGUA
rnacentral:rRNA from 1 species